AAUACGACCGUACCGCAAACCGACACUGGUGCGCGAGAUGAGUAUUCUAAGGCGCUUGAGAGAACUCAGGAGAAGGAACUCGGCAAAUUGACACCGUAACUUCGGAAGAAGGUGUGCCCUAUUAGUGUGUGGUGAACAACGAAGCAUGAAUGGGUUGCAAAAAAUCGGUGGCUGCGACUGUUUAUUAAAAACACAGCACUCUGCAAACACGAAAGUGGACGUAUAGGGUGUGACGCCUGCCCGGUGCUGGAAGAUUAAAUGAUGGGGUGCAAGCUCUUGAUUGAAGUCCCAGUAAACGGCGGCCGUAACUAUAACGGUCCUAAGGUAGCGAAAUUCCUUGUCGGGUAAGUUCCGACCUGCACGAAUGGCGUAACGAUGGCCACACUGUCUCCUCCUGAGACUCAGCGAAGUUGAAAUGUUUGUGAUGAUGCAAUCUCCCCGCGGAAAGACGGAAAGACCCCAUGAACCUUUACUGUAGCUUUGUAUUGGACUUUGAACAGAUCUGUGUAGGAUAGGUGGGAGGCUUUGAAGCAGGGUCGCUAGAUCUUGUGGAGCCAACGUUGAAAUACUACCCUGGUGUGUUUGAGGUUCUAACCUAGGUCCAUUAUCUGGAUCGGGGACAGUGCAUGGUAGGCAGUUUGACUGGGGCGGUCUCCUCCCAAAGCGUAACGGAGGAGUUCGAAGGUACGCUAGUUACGGUCGGACAUCGUGACGAUAGUGCAAUGGCAUAAGCGUGCUUAACUGCGAGACUGACAAGUCGAGCAGAUGCGAAAGCAGGACAUAGUGAUCCGGUGGUUCUGUAUGGAAGGGCCAUCGCUCAACGGAUAAAAGGUACUCUGGGGAUAACAGGCUGAUACCGCCCAAGAGUUCAUAUCGACGGCGGUGUUUGGCACCUCGAUGUCGGCUCAUCUCAUCCUGGGGCUGUAGCCGGUCCCAAGGGUAUGGCUGUUCGCCAUUUAAAGAGGUACGUGAGCUGGGUUUAAAACGUCGUGAGACAGUUUGGUCCCUAUCUUCCGUGGGCGCUGCAGAUUUGAGGAAGCCUGCUCCUAGUACGAGAGGACCGGAGUGGACACACCUCUGGUGUAUCGGUUGUCACGCCAGUGGCAUUGCCGAGUAGCUAAGUGUGGAAGAGAUAACCGCUGAAAGCAUCUAAGCGGGAAACUCGUUUCAAGAUGAGAUCUGCCGGGGCCUUGAGCCCCCUAAAGAGUCGGAAAAAAG
rnacentral:rRNA from 1 species